CCUCUAGGGCUCGGAGAUUUUCUUUCGGUGAAGGCGAGGGAUCGGAAAAUGGCGAUGUCGAAGGCGAAGGAGCUCGUGUCCUCCAACCCCGUCGUCGUCUUCAGCAAAACGACCUGCCCGUACUGCGUCAGCGUGAAGGAUCUGCUGUCUCAAUUGGGAGUCAACUUUAAGGUCAUCGAACUGGAUCAGGAGGCUGAUGGGAAAGAGGUUCAAUCUGCACUGGCUGAGUGGACCCAACAAAGGACCGUGCCAAAUGUGUUCAUAGGAGGGAACCAUAUCGGUGGCUGUGAUGCUACGACUGCAAUGCACAAUGAGGGAAAGCUCGUUCCCCUGCUGACUCAGGCGGGAGCUCUUGCUAAAGCUUGUUAACAAACUUUUAGCUACUUGGUCGAUCUGUCGACUAGUAAAUAAUUGCAAACUAUUUCUAUAUGGUGGCCAAGUGUUGUGUUUUGGAAUUCAAAUUGGGUGUGUUGGAGAGAUUAGAACCUGCUGUUAAAGGUUCUUUGCAGUGUCCGUCUUGAAAUAUAUGUAUUAGCUUGUGUAGCUCUGCAUGCGGAAGGAGAAAUCGUUUGUUGGAGCUUACGACUUCGUGUUCUUGGAUUGGGUGGGGACGUCUUGUUAUUUCC